UUCUGAAUUCUUUCCCAGAGGCAGUGACAAAAAUCAAACAUCCGAUGUGUUCUUUACCUUUCAGUAAGCUCAGCCUCCCUGCUUGUGUCACAUCUCUAAACAUACGUACAUGCGUGAUUGAAACUGUCUAUUGAAAGCAAUAUUACAUUAACAUUAUCAAUACUGAAUUAGAGAAAAUAUCUAUCAAUGUCACCAAUUCCACCUGUCUCUUGAUGUAUGACUUUUUACCUGACAGGCUAAAUAACAAUAGAAAGUUCUUUUUAAAAAAUAGAAGAGUUGCUAUGCAGGGACUUUUUUGGAAUUAAGUGCCCCAGAGAACCUAGAAAUGUGCUUUAAAACUUUUUGUUUCACCUGGCAGAUCCAAAAAAAAUUUGGAAGCUUUUGGUUGAAUUCCCUCAUUACUUGAAGUUGUUUUAUGAAAAUUGAAUAUAUAUAUCUGUUAGGUUACCAAGACUUAUGGUUAGCUAUCUUAAUGGCUAGUGAUAUAAGACCUUGUAACAAACCCUACCAAUGGAACUGACAGGAUUUUACCAGGGAGGAUAUUGCAGUACCUGUAAGAGGAAGGGAUACAAAUUGGCACUUCAUACAUUUGUGAGAACAAUUGCCUUUAAUGUGUCUAUUUGGUUUUCAUAAUAUUGCAGGCCUCUGCUCUUGUAAGAAGUUAGCUGCAGAACCCACAUGUGAAUCCUUGUAGGACUCUGGAGAAGAUCAAAUGGGAGCUUAGAUGUGGAAGCUCUUUGGAAACCAAGAAACACUCUGAAAAUGAAAAGGGUGGAAGAGUAAACUGUUCCUGUUUCUCCAUCUUGACAGGAAGCAGAAGUUCUCCUUAGCUGAUUUUUCUUCUUGCCUUAUACUGGGUUCUUUAACACCAGAACAAAAAUAAAUAAAUAAAAGAAUCUUCCAGAAAUUCAUGAAGAGACUUCAGGUCAGGAAAGCCUGAACUUUCUCAUCCAACACCCGUUCAAGUCGGAGGAUGCUGAUUAAUUCAUGAUGGAAAGGUAUCAAUUUCACAGCCCAGACCUCUACAUUCUUGAAAUGCUCUUCUCAUGGGAGACAUUAAAUAAGCUUUGAAUUAACUGACCAAUCAUGAUCUUUAUAGAAAAAUUGGAAGGAAGUACAGAAACAUGUGAAUGGAAAAAUAUCCAACCCGAGCAGGAUAAAACUGAUCAUCCUGAGGAUAUUGCCCUUGGAGUUAAUUUUUUGAGAGAAAUAAAACAAUAAACAUCAUAAGACACAAACCCCAAGCAACUGAUCUCACUGUUAAAAUCCAACCUGAGAACAAUGGAAUGGACCAUACUGUCUUUGUCACAACUCUGCCAUUGCAGCGUGAAAGCAUCCAUAGACGGUACACAAAUGCAUGGAUGUAGUUGUACUCCAGUACAACUGCAAAAAGCAGACAGCUGGCUGGGUUUAGCCUACGGGCCAUAGUUUACACAACUCAAUCUAGGUGAUUGCCUGGUAACUUUGUGAUUGUAAACAGGAAA
rnacentral:lncRNA from 1 species